UUCUAUGUAAUUUUUUAGGGGUGGUUCCGGUUCAUGAUCAGAAGGUUUUACGGUACAAUGCGUAACAAGAGUAGGAGAGUACCCUUCACGGAGAGACCGUGAACGCACCAAUCAUCACAUGCAUGAACCGAAAGGAUCGCCUUUCCAAUAUGGCGCGCACCGUUUCUAUCCCACGUACCCAUGUUUUACGGUAACGGUGCGCAUAUUGGAAGCGACGAGAAUAUGUUUCACGAGAAGAAGACGAAAGAGAAGAAAACUUUCGACAGCCGCCGCGAUGCAUUGCGGGUCGGCACCAACCCUCAAGGGAUGGCUUUGACGUCAUCGGUUGACGUCGUCACGGUUGGCCGUGAAAGUCGCCUCCCUGGAAUGUAACGGUACUUAAAAGUUGGACAGUAGCUUAUUGGAAGACACACAAAACACCGAUUAUCCAAACCUGCUGUAAAUAUAUGUG